ACGAGACGCAACUGCCCAGUUGGCAGCUCCUGCCUCGCCCCCCCCCCUUGUCUCCCCGUCCUUUGCCUGGAACAUGGAGAGGGAGAGCCCGGCUCCGGCCCACGCAGCCCAAGGCCGGCACGGCCCGACCCCGGCGCACACCGGCAGCACCCGCUUCCGAAGCCUGCCCAGAGCGCCAGCCAGCGUGUUGCCAAGCGGUCCGGCCCCUCAGCCCUUCCCUCUCCCUCCUCUUCGUCGUCGUCUCCAAGCGGAAAACGAUCCCUCCGCUCCGCACUUCAAAGGACUCGGGAAGGCUGGUGUAUCCCGGGCAAUGCACGGCCAAGCAAGCCAGACGCACGGGACGCCCCCCGGUGCGGGUCUCCGGUCAUCUCCGGCCUUUGACUCACGGGCAGCCCAAACUGUCGAUUCAAAGUCGCACUAGCAGCCCACGAACCGCGUGCUCACAGGCGGUGGCUCAGACUGGAAGCGGCACCCCGCACCAGGCACACCUGUAAACCGUGGGUGAAUCAUUUGCCCCCGGAUGACCCGCAGUUUGCCACCGCAUGCAGACAAGGUCAGGCGAAGAGGUGCGUUCCGAGGCCGUGACCUGGGGCAAAGCCGCCGAAGCCUUCCUUCCGCUCAUAAAGCAAGCGGGCGACAUGAAAACGAUUCCCCACCGGGCCUGUUUCAUUCAGGAAACCAGUUCUGGAGAACGAACUUGAUCGCAGGAGAGGCCCUUAACUAACGAGCCCUGCAGUCGUCCAGCGCGGCUGCUCUCGGCAGUGACCUCAGGAUUAAUCAGAGGCAAGGCGAGGCGAGCCGAGGGACCCUUGUCCAGGGGCCCUUCCCAGUUUUUGUUCAUCUCACUGAUUAAUCCAGUGAUUAUAUAAAAUGAUGAGAGGCAGGGGGGACUUGGGAGCUGUCCCUGGGCCAGAAACCCUAAAUCGGAUAAAUUGUGGGAUCCCAGGCGGUCCUGGUCAGUCAUCUGAAGGGGAGGGGGGUCUCCUUGUCAGACUGCUGCUGGCGAGGGCCUUUAUAGCGCCCCCGACCCGCAGGGUGGGGGCCCCCAGCCCCGCCGCCCAAGCCUGCCACUUCUUUCUGCAGGAGCCCCGUCUGGGCUGGGCUGGGCUGUGACGAGGGCCGCUGGCUGAGGUGUAAGCCCUCAUUUGCAUUCCCUCCGAGUCCCUUCUGUGCAGAGCUUUCUUCCUUUCCCAAAAGGGGAGGCUUAGCGGAGAGAUUCUGAACCGCAUUUGCAUUCCCGAGACAAGCGCUCCGGCAUUAAUUCAUCUCGGCACAAGGGUCCCCUUCCGCUCGUCGCCCCCUCCAUGAGACCCGGGAUGAAUGCCGCGAGGGCCUUUGGGUCUUCCGCCGCCGCCGCACCGUGCCACGCAGGAUUACAAGGGAUUGCGAGGCUUCCCUUUUCUUUUACUCCCAGCUUUCCGCAGCGGGGCCUUGUUUUGCUAUUACAAAUACCGCGGGAUAAUGCUCUUAGCCCCAUUAGCUGUCGUAAUGGCCUUGCCUCCAAAUGCCCCCGCAGACGCCCCCAGCUGCAGGGAGCGCACAGGGUGGAACGGUGUGGAGGGCCGGGGAGAUGCCGGCCAGGCUCCUACCCAGCCGCAAUCUGUAUUCUCAUCUCAGCCCUCACAGAACUGUGAUCAGAAUAACCAAGGUCUCAUCAAAAAUUCAGGCCUUAUUGACUUUCCCGCAUUCACAGCCAUUUCAUGCUGCUCAGAAGCCUUAAAAAAAGCCUUUCGCAGGCACAAACACGGAGGAAGUGUGGCUGCCUGGGAAGCGCGCCUGCCUCCGCCAUAUGGAGACAGGAGGGGUCUCUCCCCGGAAGGCCAGCCCAUCCAUCCAGGUGUGCUUACAGUGACAGGGCUCUUAUCUGGGCAGACCAGUGGAGGCCGCGCCACUCCCGCAGCUGAGCCAGGGCUGGAAAGGCUCGUGGUGUCCAAGAAUACGGCAGGGCCCGAUCCACACAGAGGGCCGUCUGCACGCACCCACUGAUGAACAGAACAAGGUACACAAGGUGCCCCUGCGUGGUGUUGGCACUCACCUGCGAGGGAGGAGCCCGCGGCUCCCCUACGCCACCAGUGCCUUGGCCCACCUGCCAGCGCACCUGCUGUACACAGCACCAAUGACCAGCCUAUUUCCAGGCACAUCUCACCUUUCUUAUGUAUUUAUGCAUUAGGUUUCUGUCCCACAAUUCCCCCCCCCCCCUUUUUAAAAAAGCAAAAAACCCGCCGGCGUGCCCCCCCCCCCGGCUCCUGCCCUCAACUGCACCCGCACAGCAACCACCCAGUGACGGUGGCUGGGCUGAGCGCCUGGGCGAGACUGGACUCCCAAAGCCGCCACGUGGCUCCGUGGCUGAGCAGGGGCCGGAACCCGGACCGCCCGAGCCCCUGCCCCGUGCUCUUCACCGCUGCGCCACGCGGCUCCCUCUCCAGCCUUACGACCGAGAAGGUCCCACGCAGCUGGCUUGGUGCCAAGCUACCGGAAGGGCCGCCCAGCCCCAUGAAAGCACGCCUGCUUCCAGGGUCUUCCAGGAAAGUCCUUCCUUCCUUUGCGGCUGCCAGCUUUGGGCAGCGGGGCCUUUUUGGUGGCCACUUCCAGACUUUGGCACCCGUGCCUAAGGGCGGCCGCUUCACGCCUUCGCUUUUGGCAGCUCGCAGGCUAAGCUUGCUCCACGCAGGAAGCCCUCGGUGCGGGAGCGGCCCUCUUGGGUUCGGCGCAUGAACACAUGCAUAAAAUACAGUCAGAGAGACUCUGCCGCCCCCAGCGCAGUGCAAGUGCCUCGCAGAUGCUACUGCCCACGAGCGGCUCAAAGACUCGCACAGGACCAUGAACUCCUGAAUGCAAAUUGGCGCAAUGUCGGGCGCAAGCUGCUCCCCCAGGACUGCGGCCACACCGGCCUCUGGGGGGGCUGCUCCAGCUGGCGGCCCACAGCACUGCCGCCACGCGGCUUCGCUGCAGAGCCACACCGGCAGCCACGGCACCUCGCGCUCACGAUCUGCACACCUCUGUGCUGUGACAGCUCUGGCUUCCCAUGAUGUAAUAAUAUUAUUUUUGAGAUGGGUCAGGGUAUAAAAUGCGCGCACCCACCGUCUUUAAUAUUAAUAAGCCUUGUAACUAGUGGUUCCUCGUAGCUCCGAAUUCUUGAGCACAACUAGAAAGGGCACUUAUCCUGAAAAAUCUAAUAAAUUUACAGUUUUAUAUACUUCCUUCAAUUGUAAAAGUCUUGUUCAAUAAACUUUAAAAUGCCACUAUAGAGCAAUAACACAGACAGUAUAAAGCCAGCCCAGGGAAAGCUGCACAACCCGGAAUGGUUCCCCUUUCUGCUACAGCAAUAAAGUUUUAUAUGUUUGAACUGACUGUAAAAAGGUUUGAAUGUUGGCAACUGGGGAAUAAUCUGUCUUCUUUAUAGUUAUUAUCAUAUUUCCCACAAGACCCCUUGGUCUGUGUCAAUCCUUCUUGUAUAUGACACCUUUGUACUGUCAGCGAAAGCUAGAAUACUUUACCUGUUUGUUGCUUUUUUUCAUCCGAUAGGUCUUGUGUCUGUAUUCCUUCAGAUUACAGCCAGCAGGAAUAAAUUACUUGUGACAAGUUUCAAUUGCACAUUUUACCAAAUAACACUAAGGCAGAGCUGCCUUUUCUCCAGGAAAAAAUUAAUAAAUGAUUAUAUUUACUCAUCA